GCUCUGUGUUGUCUCAAUAGAUCCAGCUGACCCUUCACUGAGCGCUCAGUAGGAUAGAAGGGAAUUGAAGUAAUCUAUGGCUGAGAGA